AGUAAAUAGAUACCCGGGUAGUCCACGCCGUAAACGAUGAGUACUAGGUGUAGGAGGUAUCGACUCCUUCUGUGCCGCAGUUAAACACAAUAAGUACUCCGCCUGGGAAGUACGGUCGCAAGAUUAAAACUCAAAGGAAUUGACGGGGCCGCACAAGCAGCGGAGCAUGUGGUUUAAAUUACGAAGCAACGCGAAGAACCUUACCUAGACUUGGUCGAUCUCCUGAAUAAGUGUAGAGAUACAUGAAGCCCUUCGGGUCGAGAAGACAGGUGGUGCAUGGUUGUCGUCAGCUCGUGUCGUGAGAUGUUGGGUUAAGUCCCGCAACGAGCGCAACCCUUACUUACUAGUUGCUACCAUUAAGUUGAGCACUCUAGUGAGACUGCCC
rnacentral:rRNA from 1 species